rnacentral:lncRNA from 1 species
GCCAACCACACCGUCAGGUUACCCAUUCGGCUGCCUCUCGAGCCCCAGCGGCUCCACCUACUGAUUGGGACAAACGUUUUUGCGCUGUCAAAGUAGCUGUCGCUGCACUCACAGUGGAAGUUUGACGCCUUCAGGCACUUAUCGGGGAUACCAGGUCUGGCCAUUCUGACCCCUUCACUGACCGCCCAGACACAGAACAUACACAUCACAUCCUUAGUACCCACCUCAUUUCCCAAAUCAAAAUGAUUAAGGAAAUCUCGUAGUACCAUGCGCAAGCCCAACACUUUAGAAGCGCUCAGUCACGACCGAUCCCGGUCACUGUCUGCGGCUGGAGACAAAUUCAAAUCCGAGGAGACUCAAAUGGACACUCUCGGCCAUCCUACAGUGGACACAGUGCAGCCCUUACCAUCCCCGGCUAGCAGCCAGCCAUCGCUUGUCUCCCUAGCAGAAGGGAUAAAAGCAAACCCAAGAUCUGCCACUAAGCCCAAACAUGGCUAG